GACGUAGGGCGCGAGCGUUGUCCGGAUUUAUUGGGCGUAAAGAGCUCGUAGGCGGCUCGUUGCGUCGGCUGUGAAAACCCCGCAGCUCAACUGUGGGCUUGCAGCUGAUACGGGCGGGCUGGGAUUCGGUAGGGGAGACUGGAAUUCCUGGUGUAGCGGUGAAAUGCGCAGAUAUCAGGAGGAACACCGGUGGCGAAGGCGGGUCUCUGGGCCGAUAUCGACGCUGAGGAGCGAAAGCGUGGGGAGCGAACAGG
rnacentral:rRNA from 1 species